AUCAUACAAAGUAAAUGGAAGAUACCGUGUUGGGUUAUUUUGUUGCUUGCUUUUGUUAAUGUGGUACCUUGGUUUAAUAGCAAAUGUUAUCUUUCAAUGUGGUGAUUCAGGACAUGGAUGAUACUUUGUUUUGAGUUAUUUUUUGUUUAGUCUAGUUGCUGGUGCUCCAAAUGAGAAUUAAAAAUCAUUGAUAAAAAGCAUAUGCUCAAAGCUGGAAAAGAAAAAAGUCUUGAAUAUUUCUCCCACAUCGAAUAUGAGACUAAACAUAAGCUUCCAAACUUAGUAUAAAACUUGAGGUCCUUGAACAAAGAAGCUCAUACCUUUCUCGGCCUUUUGGCUAAGAUCAAGUGUAGUAUCUGUUCUUAUCAGUUUAAUAUCUGAUAUGUGGACCAUUGGUUCACACGAUAUUAAAUUUAUUUUUUGAGGGGGGAAAGCCUGUCGAGGUAGCUUGCUAUCUGGGCUUUCGAGCGUCGCCUAUGCGUUGCACUACUGCACAUGCCUGGCGCAUCCCGCCAAUCGUAGUCUAAUCUUCUCUCAUCUCUAAUGAAACAAUGCUUAGUAGUUUUGAUGUUUUCGCGUUGAAUAAGUGGUAUAAUUUUGCUGGAGAAGAGUUGCUAUGUACGAAUAGAAUGAAAGCGUAAUGAGAGUCCAAGUAUCUGGAAUCGAAUGUAUAUGGAUCUCCAAAAAAAAAGGUGCAUAUUUGAGGCAACACUAAUCAUUCUACCACUAGAGCAAACACGCACACAACAUCAUCGACCUGAUUAGUGUCACGACAAUCCCCUCAGUUAUAUAUCUUAACUUUGGUGUCCCAUUUUAUAUCUGCACCUUUUUUCUUUGGUUUCCAAUUUUUUCUUGAAUUUUAAUUUCUAACGGUUUAGUACAAUCUAUUCUUAAGAUUAUUAAUCCAUUUUUACAUUGAUUCUAUAAUUUCAUAAUUAAUUUCAUUACAGUUACUCAAUCCAUAUUUUCCUAUUUGUAAUCUUUUAAAAUCUUCGUAAUAUUUAAAGUAGUGUAUGCAAAAUGUAUGCUAUGCAACUCUUUGGAUGCUAUUGUAUGUGCAUAUUGUUGUUUUCCAAAUGUCCUUCCUUUCAGCUUUAGCUCAUUGCAGACAAACUGAUGAAAUUUCUUGAAUUUAUUUAGCAGAAGUUGAAUCAUAAAUUGGGUAAUAAUCUGGCUCCGAGGCUGCUGCUGCAAAACCUGCUCCCAAUAUCAUAAUCAACCAUGAUUUUUCAGGUGGACUUCAUCACUGGCACCCCAACUGGUGUUUUGCCUAUGUCACUUCAGAACCAACUGCUCAUCCGCGAGGGCUAAGUGGCUGUUUUGCUGUUGUUGCGAACCGUAAAGAAUGCUGGCAAGGCCUGGAGCAGGACAUCACCAAUAGAGUCUCAGCAGGCUCCAUUUACACCAUCCGUGCUUGGGUUGGAGUGUCGAGCCUUCAAGGCGCCACAGACGUGCUGGCCACUUUGAGACUCGAAAGCAAUUUCUUUGCAGUUAGUGCUUCCGCUUCCACAGAUCACUGGGAGAAGCUAGAAGGCUCCUUCUCGCUGCCAAUUCUGCCCCGUUGUCUUGUCCUUUAUCUAGAAGGGCCUUGAUCUAUUUAUAAGAUCGGUUGUCGUCUCCUCCAACACCUCCAGUCAGCCUGAUCAGAAGUUGAAUCAUAAAUUGGGUAAUAAUCUGGCUCCGAGGCUGCUGCUGCAAAACCUGCUCCCAAUAUCAUAAUCAACCAUGAUUUUUCAGGUGGACUUCAUCACUGGCACCCCAACUGGUGUUUUGCCUAUGUCACUUCAGAACCAACUGCUCAUCCGCGAGGGCUAAGUGGCUGUUUUGCUGUUGUUGCGAACCGUAAAGAAUGCUGGCAAGGCCUGGAGCAGGACAUCACCAAUAGAGUCUCAGCAGGCUCCAUUUACACCAUCCGUGCUUGGGUUGGAGUGUCGAGCCUUCAAGGCGCCACAGACGUGCUGGCCACUUUGAGACUCGAAAGCAAUUUCUUUUCAGUUAGCUACAAGUUCAUUGCAAAAGCUUCUGCUUCCAUGGACCACUGAGAGAAGUUAGAAGGAACCUUCUCACUGCCAAUUCUGCCCCGUCGUGUUAUCCUUUAUCUUGAAGGGCCUUCUCCUGGCACUGAACUAUUUAUAAGAUCGGUUGUCGUAUCCUGCAACACCUCCAGUGUGUCUGAUAAAAACCACAAUGAUACACUUAACAUUAAAUGCCUUACUGUUAAGGACUCAAUCAUGAUUCACAACACUGAAAAACCACAAUGAUAAGGUGUAAAACCUCCUUUUGCUGCAUCAAAGUCUUUUCAGACUCCCAAUAUUUCUCUCUCUUCUGAAGUCCACGUUCGUCGUUUCUGGCAUGAUGUUGAACUACACGUUGCUGCUAUGUUAAUUGGCAAUAGUCUUGGUUUGAUUUGGAGCCAGUAAUAGGUUGCUGUAAAAUGCCAUUAAGUUAGGGAGCUUGCUUUUAUUAUAACAACAUUCAUGUACACUGACUCCUUCAGGAAAUGGAUGAUACUGUUGGGAUUUACACA